CGGCGAGUGAAGCGGGAAGAGCUCAAAUUUGAAAUCUGGCAGUCUUCGAUUGUCCGAGUUGUAAUCUAUAGAGGCGUUUUCCGUGCCGGACCGUGUCCAAGUCUCCUGGAAAGGAGUAUCAAAGAGGGUGAUAAUCCCGUACUUAACACGACCACCGGUGCUCUGUGAUACGUCUUCUACGAGUCGAGUUGUUUGGGAAUGCAGCUCAAAAUGGGUGGUGAAUUCCAUCUAAAGCUAAAUAUUGGCGAGAGACCGAUAGCGAACAAGUACCGUGAGGGAAAGAUGAAAAGCACUUUGGAAAGAGAGUUAAACAGUACGUGAAAUUGUUGAAAGGGAAACGAUUGAAGUCAGUCGUGUUCUUUGGAUUCAGCCAGUUCUGCUGGUCUACUUCCUUUGAACGGGUCAACAUCAGUUUUGUCCGGUGGAUAAAGGUAGUAGGAAUGUGACUUCUCCGGAAGUGUUAUAGCCUAUUAUCACAUACACUGGGUGAGACUGAGGACUGCAGCUCGCCUUUAUGGCCGACCUUCGGGUACGUUCGAGCUUAGGAUGUUGACAUAAUGGCUUUAAACGACCCGUCUUGA
rnacentral:rRNA from 1 species